rnacentral:rRNA from 1 species
ACGGCGAGUGAAGCGGCAACAGCUCAAAUUUGAAAUCUGGCGCAAGCCCGAGUUGUAAUUUGUAGAGGAUGCUUCUGGGUAGCGACCGGUCUAAGUUCCUUGGAACAGGACGUCAUAGAGGGUGAGAAUCCCGUAUGUGACCGGCCCGCACCCUUUACGUAGCUCCUUCGACGAGUCGAGUUGUUUGGGAAUGCAGCUCUAAAUGGGAGGUAAAUUUCUUCUAAAGCUAAAUACCGGCCAGAGACCGAUAGCGCACAAGUAGAGUGAUCGAAAGAUGAAAAGUACUUUGGAAAGAGAGUUAAAAAGCACGUGAAAUUGUUGAAAGGGAAGCGCCUGCAAUCAGACUUCGCGGCAGUGUUCCGCCGGCCUUCUGGCCGGUUCAUUCUCUGUCGCGAGGCCAUCAUCGUCUCGGCCCGCUGGAUAAGACCUUGGGAAUGUAGCUCACCUUCGGGGGAGUGUUAUAGCUCAUGGUGAUGCAGCGAGGCUGGGGCGAGGUCCGCGCUUCGGCAAGGAUGAUGGCGUAAUGGUUGUCGGCGGCCCGUCUUGAAACACGGACCAAGGAGUCUAACAUCUAUGCGAGUGUUCGGGUGUCAAACCCCUACGCGUAAUGAAAGUGAACGGAGGUGGGAACCGCAAGGUGCACCAUCGACCGAUCCUGAUGUCCUCGGAUGGAUUUGAGUAAGAGCAUAGCUGUUGGGACCCGAAAGAUGGUGAACUAUGCCUGAAUAGGGUGAAGCCAGAGGAAACUCUGGUGGGAGGCUCGCAGCGGUUCUGACGUGCAAAUCGAUCGUCAAAUUUGGGUAAUAAGGGCGAAAGACUAAUCGAA